CACACACUCUCUCUCUCUCUCUCUCUCUCUUUCCCACUUCAACCGGUUUCUCUCUCGCCUCCACCACUCUCACAGCCUCCACGCUUCCCUCAACCUCAUCGUCACUGCUACCAGCAUACCCAACUCAGACCCAUCAGCAAAAUCGAAGCCAAAACAUCAACUCACCAUUUGAAGCCACCUCUUCUCGAAUAUUCUUCUCUUUCCUAGAAAUUUCAGCAACUCUCUCUCUCUCUAAGCUUUGCUCUUAAAAACCCCUCCUUUUCACUUCAACUUUCUCAGCCUCUAGUAGACGAACCUAAAAGAGAGGGAGAGAAAAAUGGCGUCGUUUUCUGAAUCUCCACCUGGCGAUCCAAAGGUCGGAGAGAAGAUCUUCAAAACCAAGUGCGCUCAGUGCCACACCGUUGACAAAGGCGCUGGUCACAGGCAAGGAAGAUGUACCUGAAGAAUUUGCUACUCUGGUACUGAAUUUUAUCUCUCGCAACCAUAUAGGACCUCAUGGAGUUGAGGAAUAGACUUCUCCUGGAUUUGGUUGGGUUCUUAAAUGCUGUAACAUACCAAUGGAACUAAGAUCCUCUCUGGACGAUAUGAGCUACCUCAUAGAAAAAAAAAACAAAGGAAAUCCAACGGAAGUCACUUUUCCAAAAGUCCCAUGAUGGUUGUGAAAAUCCAAGGGAAGCGAGGACUACUUUGAUCCUGCAGUUAUUUCUUUUGGUCCUUAUCAUCAAGGCAAAAGAGAACUCCGGGAAAUAGACACGAUCAAAAAUGAGGUCAUGCUCAAGUUUAUUAAAGAAUUUGGCAAAUCAUUUUCAGAAUUUUACCAUAAGGUACGUAACAUGAAUCACCUCAUUAGAGUUUGUUACGUUGAUUGUUUGGAAGAAUAGUAUUGUGAUGAUAUGUUUGCAUUGAUUAUGUUCCGAGACGGUUGUUUCAUUUCAUAUUUAUUGGACAUCGUGGUAGAUCAAAAGUGGGACAAGCUAUCAGAGUUAUUUGAUAAUCGUGGAAUAUAAUUGGGAUUUGGUUUUGUAGUUAGGGACAUGGUUUUGUUGGAGAAACAAAUUUCAUUGGCAGUUUUGGAACUUUCGGGGAGCCUUAGGUAUAAUAAUAAAAAAGUAGUACCAAAAACGAUCAAGCAAUUUAUUUAUUUUGUAUAUUUGGGCAUACUACUUUGAGCAUAGCUCUUUUGCAUCGUGAGGAUUGGCAAUGAGUGUAUUUAAAAAACAGAAGUAAGAUGAAAGAACAGCUUUUGUAACAAAAUUGAUAGCCUUUGAAUGGAGUCCUGCAUGUAAUACAAAAGCUGUUUUUUCAUCUUAAUUCUGUUUCCUAAAUGCACUCAUUGCCAAUCUUGACGAUGUGAAAAAGCUGCUCUCAAAGCGGUAUGCCCAAAUAUACAAAAUAAAAAUAAAUGAAUUGCUUGAUCAUUUUUUGUACUACUUUUUUAUUAUUGUAUCUAAGGCUCCCCAAAAGUUUCAAAAUUGCAAAUGGAAUUUGGUUCUCCAACAAAACCAUGUACCUAAUUACAAAACCAAAUCCCAAUAAUCUUUCACUAUUAUCAAAUACCUCUCUGAUAGAUUGUCCCAUUUCUGAUCUAUCAUGAUGUCCAAUAAAUAUGAAAUGAAACAACCGUCUCGGAGCAUAAUCAAUGCAAACGUAUCAUCAUAAUACUUUUCUUUUGAAAAAUCAACGUAACAAGCUCUAGUGAGGUGAUUCAUGUUACAUACCUUAUGGUAAAAUUUCGGAAACGAUUUGCCAGAUUUUUUAAUAAACUUGAGCAUGGUCUCAUCUUUGAUCGUGUCUAUUUCCUGGAGUUCUCUUUUCCCAUAAUGAGAAGGACCAAAAGAAAUAACCACGGGAUCAAAGUAGUCCUCACUUCCCUUGGAUUUUCACAGCCAUAAUGGGACUUUUGGAAAAGUGACUUUCGUUGGAUUUCCGUCGUUUUUUUCUAUGGGGUAGCCCAUAUCAUCUAGAGAGGAUCUUAGUUCCAUUGGUAUGUUACAGUGUUUGAGAACCUAAUCAGAUCCGAGAGAAGUCCAUUCCUACAUUCAUAUAAAUAAAA